CCCUUAGAUGUCCUGGGCUGCACGCGCGCUACACUGAUGCGUCCAAUAAGCACCUAACCUAAUCCGAAGGGACCGGGUAACCUUAGCAAAGCGCAUCGUGAUGGGGAUAGAUUAUUGCAAUUAUUAGUCUUGAACGAGGAAUUCCUAGUAAGCGCAAGUCAUCAGCUUGUGUUGAUUACGUCCCUGCCCUUUGUACACACCGCCGUCGCUCCUACCGAUUGAGUGAUCCGGUGAAUACUUCGGACUGCAACCGGUGCGGUUUCCGUACCCUUUGCAAAAAGUUGAAUAAACCUUAUCACUUAGAGGAAGGAGAAGUCGUAACA
rnacentral:rRNA from 1 species